rnacentral:miRNA from 1 species
GCACACCUGUGGGAGGGGCACACCUGUGGGAGGGGCUCAGGUGUGUCCCUCCCACAGGUGUGGCCCUCCCACAGGUGUGC